UACACUUGACAUACAGAGAACUUACCAGAGAUGGUUUGGUGCCUUCGGGAACUCUGAUACAGGUGCUGCAUGGCUGUCGUCAGCUCGUGUUGUGAGAUGUUGGGUUAAGUCCCGCAACGAGCGCAACCCUUGCCCUUAGUUGCCAGCACGUAAUGGUGGGAACUCUAAGGGGACUGCCCGUGUCAAGCGGGAGGAAGGUGGGGAUGACGUCAAGUCCUCAUGGCCUUUAUAUCCAGGGCUACACACGUGCUACAAUGGCGGAUACAAUGAGCAGCAAACUUGCGAAAGUUAGCGAAUCUCAAAAAGUCCGUCUCAGUUCGGAUCGCAGUCUGCAACUCGGCUGCGUGAAGUUGGAAUCGCUAGUAAUCGUGGAUCAGCGUGCCACGGUGAAUACGUUCCCGGGCCU
rnacentral:rRNA from 1 species